rnacentral:rRNA from 1 species
GCUAAAGAUGACGACCGGCGAACGGGUGCGUAACGCGUAUAGAAUCUACCUCUUACUAAGGGAUAGCCCAGAGAAAUUUGGAUUAAUACCUUAUGGUAUGCAGACUUGGCAUCAAGACUGCAUUAAAGAUUACGGUAGGAGAUGACUAUGCGUCCUAUUGGCUAGAUGGUGUGGUAACGGCACACCAUGGCAACGAUAGGUAGGGGCCCUGAGAGGGGGAUCCCCCACACUGGUACUGAGACACGGACCAGACUCCUACGGGAGGCAGCAGUGAGGAAUAUUGGACAAUGGAGGCAACUCUGAUCCAGCCAUGCCGCGUGCAGGAAGACUGCCCUAUGGGUUGUAAACUGCUUUUAUACAGGAAGAAACACUGCUACGUGUAGCAGCUUGACGGUACUGUAAGAAUAAGGAUCGGCUAACUCCGUGCCAGCAGCCGCGGUAAUACGGAGGAUCCAAGCGUUAUCCGGAAUCAUUGGGUUUAAAGGGUCCGUAGGUGGAUAAUUAAGUCAGAGGUGAAAUCCUGCAGCUCAACUGUAGAAUUGCCUUUGAUACUGGUUAUCUUGAGUUAUUAUGAAGUAGUUAGAAUAUGUAGUGUAGCGGUGAAAUGCAUAGAUAUUACAUAGAAUACCAAUUGCGAAGGCAGAUUACUA